rnacentral:rRNA from 1 species
GCUGGCGGCGUGCUUAACACAUGCAAGUCGAACGAGACGAAUUAGAAGCUUGCUUUUGACGAGUCGAGUGGCAAACGGGUGAGUAACGCGUAGACAACCUGCCUUCAGGAUGGGGACAACAGACGGAAACGACUGCUAAUACCGAAUACGUCCUUAGGUCGCAUGACUUUAGGAANAAAGGGUGGCCUCUACUUGUAAGCUAUCGCCUGAAGAGGGGUUUGCGUCUGAUUAGGUAGUUGGUGAGGUAACGGCCCACCAAGCCGACGAUCAGUAGCCGGUCUGAGAGGAUGAACGGCCACACUGGAACUGAGACACGGCCCAGACUCCUACGGGAGGCAGCAGUGGGGAAUAUUGCACAAUGGGCGAAAGCCUGAUGCAGCGACGCCGCGUGAGCGAAGAAGUAUUUCGGUAUGUAAAGCUCUAUCAGCAGGGAAGAUAAUGACGGUACCUGACUAAGAAGCACCGGCUAAAUACGUG